ACAAACAAAUCAAUAGACUCUAUAAGGCGACCAAAAAAACACAAUAACCUAAAACCCUUUAAAAUCCAAAUAAAAUCCAUUACCCUAUAAACCUAUAUAUCUCGAUUUUGGCACAUUGUUAGGGUUAGUUUGUGGAUAUGGGGACUGCAGCACGGACAAAAUGAUCUCUGGCCAAGGGAGGUCACGACUCACGAGCAGGUUGGUGCUUAGAUUUUCAGAGCCUUUCAGGAGUAUUCAUACCGUGACGUCGCCGCUCAUACAACUUUAAAGCCAAGGUAAAGGAGGGGAAGGCAAACACUCAAGAGGAACUUAAGAGGAAUCUUCGUGAUGACCUUGAAGAGUGGGACAAGAGACACUUCUCACUCAAAGGCAAAACUUACAAUGUCGGAUCCGUAAGUAAGAAUGAAGAACUCUUGUGAGAGCCUCAGAGAGAUAAAAAUAUAAUUUGGAUUGGCAAAUGAGGUAGAGCCAUUGAUCCCUAUGAGAGCAGAUCGGACGUUCGAGAGAAGAAGCUGAGUAGAUCGGAGUUUGAGAUGAAAUAAAUCAUCGAAGAAGACAAUUUCUUUUGUGAUAUCAAUUUUUGUAUAUUAGCUACAAAUGCAAUAUAACCAGCAAUAGAUGAAUGGUUCUAAGUUGUAACAACAAUAAUUUUAGUUA